GCAUGAGCUCUCUCUAUUCUAUAUAUAAAGAACAAGGAAGCAACGACAGUGCUAUUUUGUCAGUCAUCUCUAGCAACUUCGAGUGUCGUCGUUCUCUCCUGCUUCUUCCUCAGUCAAAAUGAAACCUGGCGUCGCCCUAGUUUACGCCGUGGGUCUAGUGACUCUCACUGACUGCAUUCAACUGAAGCCGACGAACAUCAACGCCAUCCCCACAAUCCCUAUCACCAUAGAGAACAUCAACACCCUUAUCGUCUUCGUCGGCUUGGGGAUCAGCGUCAUCAUCGGCUA